AACACACAACGCAAUGCCACCCACUGCUGACGGGCAGGACCUUCUGGGGCUGGGUCCAUCUGCAUUGUGAUGAGAGCAGUUUGUGAGUGAUGUCAGCCUAAUUAGGCAGGCUAAUGUCUGGUUUCCUGGAGCGGGCUUUUGUGAAGUAAUUGGCUGCCUUGGGGUCAAAAUGCAGUAAUUAUAGGUCUUAAAAAAAAAAAAACAACUAUAUGAGAUAAACAGCCUUUGAAUUCUUCAAGCAAGUAAGCCAAUCACACCAAGAGACUUCUCUUUGUGCCCAGAACUGCAGUGGGUAUUUUGACAGAAGAUUCUGGAAGGCUACGAAAAACUAAUGAAGUUUGGAAAUGUCAUUUCCGUCUCGGGAGGCGUGGAGACUGGAUCAAAGCCAGCAGGAGCCUACUUGAGGCCUCCACUGAGUCCUUCAAUAGAGAACUGCUCGCUUAGAAGAGGCUUGGGAAGGAUAUGCAUGGUGGCGGUGCUGCCAACCUGGCAUGGAAGGUACAAGAGGCGUCCUGAGCAGGAGGUGGGUCCUGAACUCCUGGCCUCAAGUGGUCCUCCUGCCUUGGCCUCCCAAAGUGCUGGGAUUACAGAUGUGAGCCACCAUUCCCCACCUUGGAUGAUACCUUUUUAGAAGAGUGUGCUGAAGUUUGAGAAGAGCAAGAUGGAAAUACGACACAGAGGAGAACUUACGGGACACGCAUAGCCCAGCCUCUUCUAGAAGUCCUCACCAGGUGCACCCUCUUCCUGCUGCAGGAAGUGCUCUGAGCAUUGCUGCACUGCAAACUCCAGGCAGAAAUGACUCCGAGAAGAAAGUACAUAAUCCCAUCUCUAAGCUCCACUUCUAGAUCCCCUGUUCCUCAUAUUAGAACCUUCCUCUUUCCAGGGCAGUGACCAUAUCUAUUCCUUAUGGAACCACCCACGGAGUGUGGUAUUAGCCCACAGUCCCAGUAGAAACUACACAAUUGUCAGACAGAACAUUCCCCAGAUCUGGGUUAUGGAGUUGUAAGCACCGCUGCAUGGAAGACAGCUCAGGUAGGGCUAAAAUGAUUGCAGCCUGCUUUUUUAGUCUCAUAGCAUCGAUUAUUCAAUCCAGUUAUUCACUCACCACCUUAGCCAUCUUAGUAACAACGGGAAUGGCUUCCUUUCUUUCCAAAGGAAGGCAUCUGAAGACUUAAGUCACAGAGGUUGGCUGGCAGACUAGAUCCCUGCAUCAUUUCUCUAACUCUCUCAGUACAGGAUCCUUAUCCAUUAGGACAGGUUUCACUGCAAGUGAAGCCUCCAGCAGUCAGAGAUUCUAAGGCUGGCCUGAUCCUGAAGACAGAGGGAGGCUCGGCUAAGAGGUCACAGGAAGCUGCACAAUAGCCCCGGGAUAGACGUUCAUGUUCUGGAUUGGUUUCUGGCAGUCCUGUCUGCCUAAUUUAUGGUGGCAAUUUCUCAGGUUCAGGACUAGUGGGGAGAGAUGGAGUCACCUAGGAAGGGACCGGUCCUUUUGCCCCCGUGACUUCUAUAACUCAGAGCAUACUCUUGAAACUGCUUCUGCUCUUGAAAGCAGUAGCUUCCCAACCCAAUUCAUUACACACUCGUGAGACCACCUUAGAGAACCUUGUAACUAAAAAACCAGUUUCUGCAAAAGGGCAGUCCUGAGUUCUGCCUAAUUUCACGUGGGAUUUUGCUGUUUUCGUGACACCAGUGCAAUGAAAUGGCCUAUCUCUUAGAAAUGUAAAGAUCAGUGAUGGUAACAUUCAUAGCAGGGUUUUAUGCUAGGUGGCAGUGAAAUCCUCAGCACACCAGCAGCUCCCUACGCUCCUGUCUCUGGAAUCUCCAGUGUUUAUUUUAUGUGAAGGAGAAACCAACACAGAACUUCUUGAACCCUUUAUGUGGUUGAAGUUGGGCCUUCUCUUCUAUUAGGGAGUGUGUGUCUAUAUCAUGUUAUUGUUCUUAUACCAGAAAAGCUCGACAUGUUUUAUUAUUUAUGGUGUUACCUUGCUGUUUGAACUCAGAAUUUCUUUGCCUGGAAUCUCAGUUGUGACAAAAGAGCAGGAGACUGUUCCAGUCUUCAGUGGUGAAGCCUUCAGGUGAAAGAAAUGGAGAAAAGAAAGGUGGAAGGAUACAGACGGUGGGUCCUAGGAAGAAAGCCCUUUUCUGUUUUAGGCAGAAAAUGUCGCUGUGCCAUGUGAUGAAAGAGCAGGCCUCAGUGAGGCCCAGGGUGUGACACAUGGCAGGGAGCCCGGGUUCUUUUCUUCUCUCUAAACUCCCAACUUUUAUAAAUUAGUGCCUGGGCUUUCAAGGCCAUGACCUUUGAGUUUCAAGAGUCUAUUCAGAACUGAAAAUCCAAGAAUUUGAUUUUUUGGUCUCUAUCUUUUGGUCUGUUCACCUAGCCAUGAAUGACCAAGGGGAGGGAGGGCCACACAGCAGCUCCUGUGUGAGAAGAUAAUUCUCUAUCUCAGAAAGUUGUACCAGCAUCCUGACCUAUGAAUACUGGACAGCCACAAACGUGAAAAUUCUAAUGGUGAUCACAUUGUCUGAUGCAGAAACAAUGCUGUUCUCUUCCUUAUGGUGUGAGCACACUGCAAAGUCCAAUUUAUAUUUUAUCACUGUAUUAGUCCAUUCUCAAGCUGCUAUAAAGAAGGGCCCAAGACUGAGAAAUUUCUAAAGGAAAGAGGUUUAUUUGACUCACAGUUCUGCAGGCCUCAGGAAACUUACAAUCAGGAUGGAAGAGGAAGCAAACAUGUCCUUCUUCACAUGGCAGCAGAAAGGAGAAGGGCUGAGCAAAGUCCCUUAUAAAAUACUCAGAUCUCAUGAGAACUCAUUCAUUAGCAUGAGAACAGCAGCAUGGCGGCAACUGUCCCCUUGACACAUGCAGAUUAUUACAAUUCAAGGUGAGAUUUGUGGGGAUACAGCCAAAUCAUAUCGGGGGAGGCAAACCGUAUCAAUCACAUAUCAACCCCUGAGGAAGAAGGGGAGGAAGAGGGGGCACAUAAUGAUGAUGAUGAGACUUUUUUGUUCCAUUUGGAGAUAUAACAAGUGUGUCUCAUGAAGAGGAGGAGGAGGAGGAGACCCAAGGAGGAGAAAGAAGGAGGCAGAGAGAGAUGAUGGUCGCUGGUGUGGGAGGAGAUGCCAUAUCCCUGUGAGGAGUGGCGCCAGGGCCUUGCUGAUGGCAGGGAACAUGGGAGUCUGGCCAUGAACAUUUCCCUGGAGGAGCUGGGUGUUUGUGCUGCGUGGAGGGUGAGGUUGGCUGGCUCCAAUCCCAGGGAGACACAACCUCAGCCUGCAUUUAUACAACUACACUUCUCAGGCUUCUCAGAGGAGCCACCUCUACACUCUAAUAUCCUCAUGCCCUGAAAGGCUCAGCUAGACCUUUCCAGGGUCCCAGUGAGCAUCCAGCAGUGAUGGCAGGACUGGCAGCAUGAGUCAAAGGGUGCAACAGUGAGAAGUACCUCCUGCACCCCCCCCCGGAUUUGGAAAUGUGAGGGGACACAUUCAGUUGUCACACUGUGGGCCACAGUUGAGAAGCGCCCCAAGAGUCAAUGCUGAGGGCAGAAGGUGGUGACAUGCACGUGCACAAACUCCUUCCCACGUAGAGUACCUCUCGGAAACCUUCCUCUGUGGAAUGAAAUGGCGAGAAUACGGAUGGGGCCAAUGGGGCAUGGGUGUCGUGCACCCCAGCUCCCCAGUGUUCCAGACUGUGGGAUGAAACCAGCAUGCCUGACUCACAAGCAGAAGGCAGAGGUCGGAAGGGGCAGCAAAUGGUCUCACACUUUCAAAGCUGGUGAGCACUCAAUCUGAAUCCUGAGUUAAACAGAUGUCUUGGCCGGGCGCUGUGGCUUACACCUGUAAUCCCAGCACUUUGGGAGGCUGAGGCGGGCAGAUCACAGGGUCAAGAGAUCGAGACCAUCCUGGCCAUGGUCUCUACUAAACCCUGUCUCUACUAAAAAUACAAAAAUUAGCUGGGUGUGGUGGCAUACGCCUGUGGUCCCAGCUACUCGGGAGGCUGAGGCGGAAGAAUCGCUUGAACCCAGGCGGAGGUUGCAGUGAGCCAAGGUUGUGCCACUGCACUCCAGCCUGGCGACAGAGUAAGACUCCGUCUCAAAAAAACAAAAACAAAACAGAUGUCCUGCAAUUCAGUAGAUCAACCAAGUGACCUCUGCAAGGGGACGCAAGAGGGGUGACGAGUGUGCUCCCCAACUCCGGACCCGGGCUGCAGAGCUGAGCAACGCUGCCUCUCCCUCUUGUGAGCAUUGCUGAGGUGAGUGGCUUUUAAUUCCUCUGUGCCUCAGUUUCCUCUCUAUAUUAUGAAAGUAUUUCCUCCUACAAGGCAAGACUCUCUGAGAAGUUACUGUUCCCAUAUUGCACCACCCCAGAAAUGGAGCUCACCAGUUUAUCCCCAUCCCAAUGAGCUGGUGGACUCUAGAGAUAAGAGCGUGGGACGGGGAGGCCGGGCCUUCACUUUGUCAUUUGUGAAAUGGGAUGGCAAAUAGCCCUUCUCUCACAGGUGAGGUGGGAACCGGUGAGCUGAAACAUGAAAAGUGGCUUUAAAAUAUUACCUGACUCUCCGGGGCCUCGAGGCGAUCCAAAGCCACAGGCUGUAGCAUGCAGGAGAGAUUUCAUCCUGGAUUUCUUGGAGACAAGAAGACGUGGUUAAGUCAGAUGGUCAGGCAGUCCCCGCAUUAGCCAUGUCUGGCCUCUCCUUGGUGUUCCCCUUAGGUUGCCAUCACGGGAACCUCCCUCCACCGUGUCUGCCUGUCUUGAAUAUUCCUAUCACUAUUAUGGGACUUUUACUUUGGGAUAAUAGUGGAAAGUCUUAGCAACACCAUUUUAACAGGAGGCAGGCCUUGUUUAAAAGCAGUCUAGCAGUGCUUUUAUUAUUAUUAUUAUUGAGAUGGAGUCUCACUCUGCAAUCGCCACUUCCUGGGUUCAAACGAUUCUCCUGCCUCAGCCUCCCAAGUAGCUGGGAUUACAGGCGCACCCCACCACGCCUGGCUAAUUUUUGUAUUUUUAGUAGAGACAUGGUGUCACCAUGUUGGUCAGGCUGGCCUCAAACUCCUGAGCUCAAGUGAUCCCCCCACCUCAGCCUCCCAAAGUACUGGGAUUACGGGCAUGAGCCACCACACCCGGUCGGGCAGCACUUAAGUACACACGAAGCCCAUGUGCAGCAAUUCUGCUCCUACCUGCUCACAGGUCGUGGGGGUCAUGCCCCCCUCAACUGUGUGCUUCAUGGCAGCACUGUCUGCAGGAGAGGCAGAGUGGUCUGCAGUACUUAGAGGCAACAGACGAGGUUCAUAGCAGUUCAGAGUGAAAAGGCAGAAACAAAAUGCUGUCUAGAGCCCGCCACUGUAAGGGAGAGUGGGGGACAGAGGCACAGGUAGAAAUGCAGAUUCUCCCUCCACUCCUGAAUCUGCAUCUGUGAAUAAGGAUGCCCAGGCGGGCACAUUGAAGAUAGGGAAGUGCGGUCUGUGGCACACAGAGCGGCGGCAUGAGGAGAACAGGGGAAAAUGUCAAUGCAGUUAAAACUCAGGCAAGAGCGACACAGAGGCGGCGCAUGCUUUCUCCUGGUGAGCAAGCUUCCUGCAGGCACCGUCUACAAGAAAGAUGGCUGAAGACAUGGACAAGCUCACCAACAGCCCGUGUCUCCUCCUCCCUCCCUGGCCUCAAGGCCCAAAGGGAACCUGUGAGCCAAGACCAAGCCUGGGUCCAGGGUCCCAGCCCUUUCGACCCACUGCUUUGCUGCAGCCGGGCUUCUGUUCCUGCCUUGAGUAAGAGUCCCUCACUGUGCAUUUGCUGCAGCUACUCAUUAAGGCAAAGCGCUUGCACAUGAAGUCAUGUGGAAAAAAGGGAAGGGAUUUAAGGCAUAGCAUUUGCUAGAUGCAAACAUAAGAAGGGAAGAUGUUUUCAUCAAACAUUGAUUCCCAGUCAAAGCUAAAUUCCAGAGAUUGGGAAGGGUGAGAUCAAUUAGUAUGAAGCUGAAAAUAAUUUUGUGUUCAGUGUCUCAGUGCUCUGCCAUUUGCUUACAGUAUGUCUGUUGCCUUAUAUAGUUACUUCAAUGCACUGGAUGGUGAGUUAAGAAGGAACAAUUAGUAAGAGAAGCAUGGUUUUAAAGAAAAGUCUUGGGGAGAGAGGGUGGAGGUAGAGAGAUGUGAUAAUCCCAGACCACUUCAACGGUUCCCAGAAUAGCCACAGGAACUCAUGGAGCUGGAAAUGUCCGUUGCAAGAUGCUGGCUUUUUGGCAUCCUUUUCUUUUCUUUUCUUUUCCCUUCCCUUC